rnacentral:rRNA from 1 species
AUGGCGCUCGGCCUCACGCAGCUUCUUCAGAGCCAUGAUCGUUCGAAGCUUCAACAAUUGCCGGCCUCGUCUCCAUCCGACGUCGUUGUCCUGGCCUUGGAUCUGUCGGGUCCCGACCUCCCUGUCGUUGCCGGACCUUGUCUGCUCGCCAGGGUUGACUCAGGCGCGAGCCCCCUCCUAGACCUGGUGCUCCCUCGUACCUGCAAGGCGUCGCCCCCUGAACCUGUCGAUUUCCUCUUCUGCAACGAGCCGGAGCUCUCUUCUCGCUCAUCCGCUUCGACCUACCCUGUUUCAUUCGUCACUCUCGGCCAGAUCCGGCGCCUCCCUGCACCCUGGCCCCAUCCCUGGCCCCAAGUCAACGCGCCGCCCCACCGGAGUCCACCAGCGACGGUGACCUCUGCCUUCCUGCGCCCCUCUGUCGCUGUUGCUCUGCCUCCAUACGAGGAGACGAGCAGAAGCAAGCACAGCGCCUGCAUUGACCGCUCCACCACGUCGGCCCAGUGUCUCCAGUGA